AACGCACAUUGCGCCCCGUGGCAUUCCGCGGGGCAUGCCUGUUCGAGCGUCAUUUCAACCCUCAAGCUCUGCUUGGUAUUGGGCCCUGCCCGUCGCGGCCGGCCCUAAAGUCAGUGGCGGCGCCGUCCGGCUCUAAGCGUAGUAAUGCUCUCGCUCUAGGGUCUGGCGGCUGCUGGCCAGAACCCAAACUUUCUCUGGUUGACCUCGGAUCAGGUAGGGAUACCCGCUGAACUUAA
rnacentral:misc_RNA from 1 species